rnacentral:rRNA from 1 species
UACGUAGGGUGCAAGCGUUGUCCGGAAUUAUUGGGCGUAAAGAGCUCGUAGGCGGUCUGUUGCGUCCGCUGUGAAAACCCGGGGCUUAACCCCUGGCUUGCAGUGGAUACGGACAGACUAGAGGUAGGUAGGGGAGAAUGGAAUUCCCGGUGUAGCGGUGAAAUGCGCAGAUAUCGGGAGGAACACCGGUGGCGAAGGCGGUUCUCUGGGCCUUACCUGACGCUGAGGAGCGAAAGCGUGGGGAGCGAACAGG